UACGUAGGGUGCGAGCGUUGUCCGGAAUUAUUGGGCGCAAAGAGCUCGUAGGCGGCCUGUCGCGUCGGAUGUGAAAGCCCGGGGCUUAACCCCGGGUCUGCAUUCGAUACGGGCAGGCUAGAGUGUGGUAGGGGAGAUCGGAAUUCCUGGUGUAGCGGUGAAAUGCGCAGAUAUCAGGAGGAACACCGGUGGCGAAGGCGGUUCUCUGGGCCUGUACUGACGCUGAGGAGCGAAAGCGUGGGGAGCAAACAGG
rnacentral:rRNA from 1 species